CCGCAGAAAAAAGUCAGAAAUAUCAAACCCUAGUUAACCCCUUAAAGCAGCUUCGACGCCAUGGCCUCCAAAUCCCCUGAGCAUAGAGUAUUGAUCGGACUUCAACUGAAUCAGCUAUCACCUGCUUCAUUCCCUUACUCUGAAGUCUGAAGACCGGGCAGCGUCCACCUCGUCCUCUUUUCGUUCUUCGUGAACGUUCUGUCAGGUGGCGGCUUAUUUCUUAUAGUAUCUUCCCCAGCAGGCCUGGGUUGUGUACAGCUCGGCGUCCUACCUUUCGACAAGCACCGUUUGCUGACGUCGUGGGGUAUGAUUUUUUACGGGUUUCUUUUCCCAAAAAUUUUUCCUUUCCGUACUGGGCACCCAACGAUUUCAGGUCCCGGAUGUCGGAAAAUGCUGAGUUUUCUGAACUUGUUUUUAAACACUCCACUUGGAUGCUUUUCUCGUCUGUCUUAUGUAUAGUUAUUUAUCCACUUUGAGCUUACCUGGUUUUGAGUAUCUGCUGAUCCUUUAAUCUCAAACUGACCCUCAGCUACUUCUUCUUUGCAACUUAGAGUUUUUCAUGUUCGGGGUUAAAAUGCAUACAGUUUUUUUCCCUGGGGGUAGCAAGAGGAAAAGAAAAUGGCUUUGUACUGUAUUACGCAGCAGAUUGAGGUGGGGAGUGCAAUAUAGUUUUUUCUUAUAUGGAAGAAAGAAAUCCAAUUUUUAUAGUUUCCAGACUUUUCAAUUGCUUUCCACCUCAUUCAUAUUGCAGCCUUGUUUUCUCUUUUCACUUCUCAAAUGACUAGCACUAUAUUCUGUCACGAGUCCCACAUCAGGAGACCAUAUUGGUGGAGUGUGUAUUAUAAAUCACCCUUCUCUUAUGAGGUACCUUUUGGGGGCGAGUUCUACCUAAAGGGUUUGGGGUCGUGACAUUGGUGCUGAGAGUUGCCGUUCACGGAAAGACUGCCCAUAGAGGGGCUGACUAGUUGAAGGCUAAAUGAAGUGCCGUGGAGUGUGAGCUGUCGCGGAUGCCGGCUUUUGAGGGGUGGGCUAUGUCAUGAGUCUCACAUCACGAGGCCACAUUGAUGGAGUGUAGUUUAUAAGUCAACCGGGCAUCCUCUUCCUACGAGGUGCCUUUUGGAGGUGAGUUCUACUUAGAGAGCUUGUGGUCGUGACAUUGAAAAUUUCAAAAGACUAGCCUGUUGGAUGGGAGAUUUACUUACACUUAAGAGGCUCCCUGAUGUGGGAUUUGUGAGAAUGCCACACCGUUAAGAGCUGACAUCCCCGACGGCUUCACUCCACGGCAUUUCACUCGGCCUUUGACUGGUCAGAACUCUUAGCCCUUUCUGUGACAUUGGCCUCUCAAUGAAAGCACCAAUAUAACGAGCACAAGUCUACAAGGAGAGCCCAUCCCAAAAGACUAGCUUGUUGGUUGGGAGAUCCCCUCACUCUUAUAAAUCCCACACCACUUGUUAGGUUCCUCAAUGUGAGACUCGUGACAUUCCCAACUUGUAGUCUAAAUCUAUGAUUCGUUCCUGUUGCGAUUCCUUCAUUUUUCUUUCUUUUUUCCUUCUUGUUUUGCUAAAGAUUUCACAGUUUGGAAGGCAUAGUUGGGCAAAGAGUAGCUUCGCUUCUGCUCCACAAAACAGGAGUAGUAGCAAUGGAGGGGUUGAAGGUGUCAGAUGCUAAUCUAGUCGUAUAUGUUCAUCCUUCAAAAAGUAAAAAAGUUCCCCAAGCAGUUCUCAAUGAGCUCAGCACUUUGCUUUUCACGUUCAGUGAAAUCUUUGAUGGGGUUGUGUUAGCCUAUGAUAUCAACCUCCUUGAUAAAUGUGCAAAAAUUCUUUCUGGAGUUCAUCCUUAUUUUGAUGUUAAACUAAAUGCGAAAUUGUUACUUUUUUCUCCAAAGCCGGAUAUGCUUUUAGAAGGGAAGGUGGUUAAGCUCACACAAGAAUCUAUUCAUGCCAUUGUGCUCGGCUUUUCUUCUGCAAUAAUAGUUGACAAAGACAUUAGGGAAGAGUUCUCAUACAAAAUUAAACGUGGACAAGGUAGAUAUACAAGCAGAUUGCAUAAGCAGCAUGUGAUAAAGGUUGGAACCAUGAUACGCUUUCAAGUCAAGAGCUUUGAUGAGGAAAUACUUCAUGUUUUUGGAUCCCUGAAGCCAGAUACCACUGGCAGUAUUCAUUGGUUAGACAAGAACUUGGAAGAUGUUUCCCAAAGUGACAGAAGUGCAAAGAAGAGAGAAAAUGGGGGAGAACCACUAAUCCCAGAGCAAAAUGCUAUGGUUGAGGAACCAAUUUCCUUGGACAAUGCACACGAGAAAAGGCCAAAGAAACAAAGAAUUAAAGAGGAAUCAUGAAGUUGAAAGUAGCUUUGGAAUCCUAUUCUGUAUGUAUUUUGUUUUCCCAGGGCUUUCACAUUAUUUUGCAGCUUGACCACUGUCUAGUGCCCUAGAAGUAGCAGCUUCAUGAGCCACUGAUAAACAUGAAAAGUGGAGAGAAAGAGUCCAAGAAAUCUCAACACGGCCUUGGGUUAGUUUUGCUCUUAUACGUCGACAGAUUUAUUGACAAGCAUGAAAACUCAAAUUUGUUGAGCCUUGUAAUCCGUGUUCGGCAUCAAUUUGUACCCAAGAUUAUGUAUCCUAUUGACUGCCGACAUUUUAUUUAUUUACAUGUGUAUCCCGAAAUGGCUCCAACAGUUUAGGGUCUGUUUGGAUUUCAAUUGGGUAUAAUAAAUU